rnacentral:misc_RNA from 1 species
GAUGAAGAACUCAGCGAAAUGCGAUAACUAAUGUGAAUUGCAGAAUUCAGUGAAUCAUCGAGUCUUUGAACGCACAUUGCGCCCCCUGGUAUUCCGGGGGGCAUGCCUGUCCGAGCGUCAUUGCUGCCCUCAAGCACGGCUUGUGUGUUGGGCUCCGUCCCCCCGGGGACGGGCCCGAAAGGCAGCGGCGGCACCGAGUCCGGUCCUCGAGCGUAUGGGGCUUUGUCACCCGCUCUGUAGGCCCGGCCGGCGCCAGCCGACAACCCAUCAUCCUUUUCAGGUUGACCUCGGAUCAGGUGGGGAUACCCGCUGAACUUAAGCAUAUCAAUAAGCGGAGGA